UGGCGAACGGGUGAGUAACACGUGGGCAACCUGCCCAAAAGAGGGGGAUAACACUUGGAAACAGGUGCUAAUACCGCAUAACCAUAGUUACCGCAUGGUAACUAUGUAAAAGGUGGCUAUACUACCGCUUUUGGAUGGGCCCGCGGCGCAUUAGCUAGUUGGUAGGGUAAAGGCUUACCAAGGCAAUGAUGCGUAGCCGAAUUGAGAGGUUGAUCGGCCACAUUGGGACUGAGACACGGCCCAAACUCCUACGGAAGGCAGCAG
rnacentral:rRNA from 1 species